ensembl:lncRNA
CAGUUCAACACUGAUUGGGUUGUUGAACUCACACAUGUGUUCAUUAAAAUGCCGUCUAAAUUGCACACGCCUGGAUCCGUGGUUUUUAUGGAUUCUUCUCUCAACAUUGAACCCUAACAUUUGGGGGCUCGUUCCGGCCUGGAAGAGAGUGAACGGACGGCGCUGACAAAAUUACCAAGUACGAAAAUCAGGAAGUUCCAAGGAUCCAGACCUUGCAUGGAGCAACGAGUGAAGGAGAUUUGACAUGAUGAUUAAAUUGAUUUUGUUCUUUAAACACAGGUUUUCAGGGCUGGAGCAAAACACCGGAGAGGAGAAUUGCUGAGCUGUUCUGGGAAAUGAAAUGACUAACCUUUUUUCCUUUUAAUUUGUUAAGCUUGGGUGGAGCAUGUUGAGUUUUUUGCCACAUGAGAUGUGUCAAAAAAGAGAGGGAUUUAAGAUUUAAUUUGUUUAAUGUGAAACGGGUUUUACUAGGAUUUUAUAACGAUUGGGGUUGUUUGAUAAUUUAGAUAUGGUAAAACUGAGGCAGAGAUUGUUAAUUCUAAAGAAAGGAGUAAAAUGAACUGAAUUCUGUUUAGAAGAUAAAUUGCUGGGGUUAAAAAGAAGUUGUACACCAAAUUAAAGGGGAAAUUGUGGGAAUAAAGGAUAUGCUUUGGGGAAGAUAGUGACGAUUUUAUGAGUAGAAAAUGUGGGA